rnacentral:rRNA from 1 species
AGCAGUAGCCGCGGGAAUACGGAGGGUGCAAGCGUUAAUCGGAUUUACUGGGCGUAAAGCGUGCGUAGGCGGCUUCUUAAGUCGGAUGUGAAAUCCCUGAGCUUAACUUAGGAAUUGCAUUCGAUACUGGGAAGCUAGAGUAUGGGAGAGGAUGGUAGAAUUCCAGGUGUAGCGGUGAAAUGCGUAGAGAUCUGGAGGAAUACCGAUGGCGAAGGCAGCCAUCUGGCCUAAUACUGACGCUGAGGUACGAAAGCAUGGGGAGCAAACAGGAUUAGAUACCCCUGUAGUCCCUGUCUCUUAUAC